rnacentral:rRNA from 1 species
GCCAGACUCCUACGGGAGGCAGCAGUGGGGGAUAUUGCACAAUGGGGGGAACCCUGAUGCAGCGACGCCGCGUGGGUGAAGAAGCGCCUCGGCGCGUAAAGCCCUGUCAGCAGGGAAGAAAAUGACGGUACCUGAAGAAGAAGCCCCGGCUAACUACGUGCCAGCAGCCGCGGUAAUACGUAGGGGGCAAGCGUUAUCCGGAUUUACUGGGUGUAAAGGGGGCGCAGACGGCGAUGCAAGCCAGGAGUGAAAGCCCGGGGCCCAACUCCGGGACUGCUCUUGGAACUGCGUGGCUGGAGUGCAGGAGGGGCAGGCGGAAUUCCUGGUGUAGCGGUGAAAUGCGUAGAUAUCAGGAGGAACACCGGCGGCGAAGGCGGCCUGCUGGACUGCAACUGACGUUGAGGCCCGAAAGCGUGGGGAGCGAACAGGAUUAGAUACCCUCGUA